UACGGGGGGGGCCAGCGUUGUUCGGAAUUACUGGGCGUAAAGGGCUCGUAGGCGGCCAACUAAGUCAGACGUGAAAUCCCUCGGCUUAACCGGGGAACUGCGUCUGAUACUGGAUGGCUUGAGUGUGGGAGAGGGAUGCGGAAUUCCAGGUGUAGCGGUGAAAUGCGUAGAUAUCUGGAGGAACACCGGUGGCGAAGGCGGCAGCCUGGACCACGACUGACACUGAAAAGCGAAAGCCAGGGGAGCAAACGGG
rnacentral:rRNA from 1 species